AUUGAACGCUGGCGGCAGGCCUAACACAUGCAAGUCGAGCGAGCGGCGGACGGGUGCGUAAUGUCUGGGAAACUGCCUGAUGGAGGGGGAUAACUACUGGAAACGGUAGCUAAUACCGCAUACCAUCAGAUGUGCCCAGAUGGGAUUAGCUAGUAGGUGGGGUAACGGCUCACAUAGGCGACGAUCCCGAGCUGGUCUGAGAGGAGGACCAGCCACACUGGAACUGUGACACGGACCAGACUCCAACGAGAGGCAGCAGGGGGGAAUAUUGCACAAUGGGCGAAAGCAUGAUGCAGCCAUGCCGCGUGUGUGAAGAAGGCCGUCGGGUUGUAAAGCACGUUCAGCGGGGAGGCGUUACCCGCAGAAGAAGCACCGGCUAACUCCGUGCCAGCAGCCGCGGUAAUUC
rnacentral:rRNA from 1 species